rnacentral:rRNA from 1 species
AGGGGCGGAGGCGUCGAAGGUGUGGAGGGUGAGGGGGGUGAAGUCGUAACAAGGUAGCCGUACCGGAAGGUGCGGCUGGAUCACCUCCUUUCUAGGGAGA